rnacentral:rRNA from 1 species
UACGGAGGAUGCAAGCGUUAUCCGGAUUCAUUGGGUUUAAAGGGUGCGUAGGCGGACUAUUAAGUCAGUGGUGAAAGCCUGCAGCUUAACUGCAGAACUGCCAUUGAUACUGAUAGUCUUGAGUUUGGUUAAGGUAGGCGGAAUGUGUAAUGUAGCGGUGAAAUGCUUAGAUAUUACACAGAACACCAAUUGCGUAGGCAGCUUACUGAGCCGACAUUGACGCUGAGGCACGAAAGCGUGGGGAUCGAACAGGA